CCUAUUCCCAACAAGCAGAUUACUCAGACAUAUUGAAUGAAACAAGCAACAUAUUUGGGU
rnacentral:sRNA from 1 species